CUUCAACUCACAUGCCUAACUUGAGCGUUGGAGUAUCUUUUGUAGGUACCUCCCCCCUGUGCUGGUGAAGGAGCACGAGCGACCCAUCGAAGGACGAGCGUGCGGUCUAUAUUGCAGGAGAGCGAGUGGCAAAGUCAUCCAGAAGCGGCAAAGUCACAUCAGAAAGUGAUUAUCUAAUUUUAUGAAUGUGUCCUCCAAUUUCGCCGAUAUCGUCCUUACAAGAGUGAGAAAGUUGUCCCUUGGAGGUAUGGAACACAUGCAGUCGAUGAAGGACAGUGUGUUGAAAGUCAAUUCUUCAGUCGG
rnacentral:sRNA from 1 species